rnacentral:rRNA from 1 species
CACGUGUGCAGCCAACCCCGUACCGGGAGAUAACCCGCGGAAACGUGGACUAACACCCCAUAAGACCUUUCCCCCGCAUGGGGGGGAGUUUAAAACCCCGGUGGUACGGGACGGGCACGCGCGACAUUAGGUAGUUGGCGGGGUAACGGCCCACCAAGCCGACGAUGUCUAGGGGUUCUGAGAGGAAGGUCCCCCACACUGGAACUGAGACACGGUCCAGACUCCUACGGGAGGCAGCAGUGAGGAAUAUUGGUCAAUGGGCGAGAGCCUGAACCAGCCAAGUCGCGUGAGGGAAGAAUGGUCUAUGGCCUGUAAACCUCUUUUGUCAAGGAAGAACAUGUAGUACGUGUACUACCCUGCCAGUACUUGACGAAUAAGCAUCGGCUAACUCCGUGCCAGCAGCCGCGGUAAUACGGGGGAUGCGAGCGUUAUCCGGAUUUAUUGGGUUUAAAGGGCGCGUAGGCGGGACGUCAAGUCAGCGGUAAAAGACUGCAGCUAAACUGUAGCACGCCGUUGAAACUGUCGACCUGGAGACGAGACGAGGGAGGCGGAACAAGUGAAGUAGCGGUGAAAUGCAUAGAUAUCACUUGGAACCCCGAUAGCGAAGGCAGCUUCCCAGGCUCGAUCUGACGCUGAUGCGCGAGAGCGUGGGUAGCGAACAGGAUUAGAUACCCUGGUAGUCCACGCCGUAAACGAUGCUCACUGGAUCUUGGCGAUACACGGCCAGGGUUCAAGCGAAAGUAUUAAGUGAGCCACCUGGGGAGUACGUCGGCAACGAUGAAACUCAAAGGAAUUGACGGGGGCCCGCACAAGCGGAGGAACAUGUGGUUUAAUUCGAUGAUACGCGAGGAACCUUACCCGGGUUUAAAUGCAGGUUGCAUGAGGUGGAAACACCUCUUUCCCUCGGGACUACCUGCAAGGUGCUGCAUGGUUGUCGUCAGCUCGUGCCGUGAGGUGUCGGGUUAAGUCCCAUAACGAGCGCAACCCCUAUCGCCAGUUGCCAUCGGUUUCGGCCGGGCACUCUGUCGAGACUGCCACCGUAAGGUGCGAGGAAGGCGGGGAUGACGUCAAAUCAGCACGGCCCUUACACCCGGGGCGACACACGUGUUACAAUGGCCGGUACAGAGGGCAGCCACGGGGCGACCCGGAGCGAAUCUCUAAAGCCGGUCGUAGUUCGGACUGGAGUCUGCAACCCGACUCCACGAAGUUGGAUUCGCUAGUAAUCGCGCAUCAG